rnacentral:rRNA from 1 species
UACGUAGGGGCGCAAGCCGUUGUCCGGAUUUAUUGGGCGUAAAGAGCUCGUAGGCGGCUUGUCGCGUCGACUGUGAAAACCCACGGCUCAACUGUGGGCUUGGCAUUCGAUACGGGCAGGCUAGAGUUCGGUAGGGGAGACUGGAAAUUCCUGGUGUAGCGGUGAAAUGCGCAGAUAUCAGGAGGAACACCCGGUGGGCGGAAGGCUGGGGUCUCUGGGCCGAUACUGACGCUGAGGAGCGAAAGCGUGGGGAGCGAACAGG